GACGAACGCUGGCGGCGUGCUUAACACAUGCAAGUCGAACGCUGAAGCUCAGCUUUUGUUGGGUGGAUGAGUGGCGAACGGGUGAGUAACACGUGAGUAACCUGCCUCCUUCUUUGGGAUAACGCCCGGAAACGGGUGCUAAUACUGGAUAUUCACUGGUCUUCGCAUGGGGGUUGGUGGAAAGGGUUUUUCUGGUGGGGGAUGGGCUCGCGGCCUAUCAGCUUGUUGGUGGGGUGAUGGCCUACCAAGGCUUUGACGGGUAGCCGGCCUGAGAGGGUGACCGGUCACAUUGGGACUGAGAUACGGCCCAGACUCCGACGGGAGGCAGCAGUGGGGAAUAUUGCACAAUGGGCGCAAGCCUGAUGCAGCGACGCCGCGUGAGGGAUGGAGGCCUUCGGGUUGUGAACCUCUUUCGCUAAUGGUCAAGCCGCAACAAUGGUUGUGGUGAGGGUAGUGGGUAAAGAAGCGCCGGCUAACUACGUG
rnacentral:rRNA from 1 species